rnacentral:lncRNA from 1 species
CCCACUUAAGCAACACUUGAAGUACCACACUACUCUUUACAUUCUUUCGUCUUCAUAUUUCAAAAGCUCUCUAAUAUUAAGCGAUGGCUGUGUCUCCAAUCCAGUCGGUGCUUGGAAUGUUGGGUAUUAUGUCCAUGCAACACCGUCAUGCUGGGGUGCAUAUCAGCUCAUUUUAUCCACCUGUUGCACAAGUUUGGAACUCGUGGUUUAAUUAAGUCCUUUACCGCUUCUGGAUGAAGACUGAAAGGAUGUGUUUGUGUUAUCCUUUUAAGUAAUGUUAAUAAGCAUGGCUUUGACUGAUCCACUAUCUCCACUGGAGUGUGUGUGUGUGAAUCUCAAUGCUAUGAGCAAAUAAACUGUGUCUUUAUGUACUUCUAUUUCAUGUGCUCGUAAUAAAUCAGUCUUUCGGCCAAACAGUUAUUAAAUAUCUUUGCUUAAAAAUUUUUGAACAAAUAAUUUGUUUCCUCAUCAAAAUAUUUGAAAUAUAUAUUAAUAUAUAUUUUAAUUCAAGACUUAAAAAUAAGUUGCCUAAAUACUUUAUUUGAAACAAUCGAAUUAAUUUUUAACAAGACACGAAACAUAACUCCAAAAAAGAACAGAAAGUGUAUGUAAUGGUGUUGCAGACUGAAUGCAUUUCUUGUUUUCAAUAUGAUUGGUUAGUCACAACAUGAUAAAAGGUUUUUUACGAUCAGUUGUGGUUUUAGGUUAAUUGAAUUUAUAAAAUAAUUGAUGCAUUUAUCUAUAAUUUGUAAUGUUUUUUAACAAUUCUGUAAAACAUGGUUCUUUCUUAUGAAAUUGCCAAAUUACUAAAUAAUAGUUUCAGUACCAAUAUUUUAUAAUAAGUCCUAAACAUUAUAAAAGUGGUUAUUUUUUUUAAACAAAAGCUAUGGACUUUGGUUGUUCACAUUUUCCAAUGUUUUCUAUUUUUUUAAAAAUUAUUAGAUUAGAGAAUAAUAGCUCCAAUUGCCUAUAUUUUUGUUAAAAGUAGUUAUUUUUUGUAAAAGGAUUAUUCACAAAAUAAGAGUUCAUAUUAUCAAUAUUUUGUAAUAUUAUCAAAGAUCUUGUAAAAAAUGCUUCUUUUUUUUUUAUUAAAGAGUUGUUUAUAGAAUAAUAGUUCUGAUUACUAAUAUUUUGUAAAAUUUUCUAAUCUUUUUGUAAAAAAUAUAUAUAUUUUUUGUAAAUUUAGGUAAAACUAAGUAAAUUGUUAAAUUUAUCCCGACUCAUGCGUUGAUAAAAGGUUGUCCUCCAUCCAUAUUUUUGAUAGGGUUUUAGAUAGGUUCCAUAAUUAUUUUUAUGCAGCACAAUGUAUAAAUUUAUCUCUGUAUUUAUAUGUACAAAAUAUGGUAGCACUUUUAAUUUUUGCCAGUGUUAGAACUUACGUAACGUGGGAGCAAUAUUAGAUGAAAAAAUAAUUUUUUAUAAAAUCAUUCAAAAAUAAUAAAAUUGUAUAAUAAAAUAAUCAUGAAAUGUAUUACAAAAUUGUAUCUCAUUGAGAUAUGUUAAAAGAAAGUUAAAAUGCUAAGAUGUGUUUUCUUAAGUAUCCUGCGAAGCUUUUUACCAAAGUAUGCAAUAAAAAAAACUAUGCAUGGUAUAAUCUAGGGGUGUCAAAAUGGGUUGGUUUGUCAGGUUCGACACCAAUUCACCUAACACGCAACAUAAUUACGGUCAACAUAAAUACUAUCAAUUUAAUAUUAUUUUAAAUUUAUCAACAUGAACACGAUACGAAAAUUAGGCAAGUGAUAGGAACACGAUAAAUUUAACCCAACUAAUAUUAUAAACAAGUUAAGUAGUUCGUGUUGACCCAUAUACAACCCGUGUAAUCCGCUUGAUAUCAUAAACAAGUUAAAGGUCCUUACUGUUCUUAUUUUUUAUUUUUUUAAUUUUGAAUAAUUGAUAAAACUUGUUGGUCCCUACUGUUCUUUUUCACACGUGGCAAUCUUAUAGGCUUACACUUGGCUUCUAUAUAAUGGAAACUGAUUUUCUUUUCUAUAUUAUAUAGAUAUAUAGAUUUUGAUAUAUUUGAUACUUUAAUUUAUAAAAUUAUAUCCAUACAAUAUUUCAGCUUUUAAAAAUUAUUUUAUUGAAAAAUCGAAUUCGUAAAAUUGAAUUGAUUAAAAUUUACUAGAUAGUUAAAAUAUAUGAAAAUUAUUGUUUCAAAAAUUAUGCUAAUAACACAUUAAGUAAACAUUUUGCACGUAAAUACCAAAAACAUUAAAAAAAAUUAAUAUAACUAAUAUUAAAAGGAAUAAAAUAUUAUUAAAAUUUGUAAUUUUAAGAAUAUAAUAGAUUUAUCACAAAGUUUAGAAUCUAACAGUAUAUCCCUAAAAUAUAGGGAUUAAUUUAUAUAUUUGGCAUUUUUCUCCACGUUUUAGUAAGUUUCUGCGAUCUUACUUUCAUGACCACAAUCACACAAGCACAAGAAGCCAAGAAACCAUUAUUCGUAAGAUGCAAGACAAAGCUUUUUCUUCUUCAUAAAAAUGGACACAUAGCACAAUCAGUGUCAGCAAUUUGGGAAAGGAUGACACAAUAAAUUAUAAUUAUCACUCGCCAUCAGCUUUCUAUUAUUUGCGGGACAAGAGUAAGUGCACUUACCAACAGAAGACAAUGUUAAGGUUGAGGAGAAGGGUAGUGCAGUGGAUAUUCUUGCUUUUGCUAUAAUUUCUAUGUUUUGUUUAGGCUAAUUCAUAGCUACAGAAAUUAUCAUCUUAUCUAAAGUUUUUAUUUUUAUAUGUAUGUUGAGAUUUUUCAGAUUUUUUUCAUUUAGAGCAAGCUAGUAUGAGUGUAAAUGAGAAGUGUUUGUGGCUGAGUAUAAUUUUUUGAAUAAGCUAAAUUUUUCUGAAUUUAAAAUAAUAAAAUAAAUUUAUUUUGCCGAUUAAAAAAAUUAAAAUUAUAUGUAGUGGUUGUGGAUAUCCAACCUUUUUCUUUUUGUUUGAUGAGAUCCUGAUAAGUAUUUCUUUCAAAAAUUAUUUGGAUUCUGCAAUCUUCUGUCACAUGUAUUUGUCUUGCAAACCGUAAAAUUUUGAAUUUUCAGUAUUGGUUGCUAUACAUUUAUGAAAAUAUAUUUUCCUUUUUCAAAAGAAAAAAAAAUCUUAUACAAGUAUAACAACAAUCAUUAUCUAUCACUUGAAUCACUUGCAUCCAAACAUCAUUUGAUACUUUGUUAAAGUUGUCUACUUGGUACAACUUAAUUCUUUACCCGACGGCCGUUAAACAACACAUCAAGUAUUUUAUUCUAAGUUGAACAAAAAUGCCGGCUCUGUGUGUUUAUAUAUAUAUAUAUAUAUAUAUAUAUAAUUAAUAAUAAUAAAAAAAAUUCCUCCUUACAUUUCAUGUUUUUAUAUUUGGCCAUGCUUUAAUCUAUCAAUCAGUAUUUGUAACAUGUUUGGCCAUGCUUUAACCUAUCAAUAUCAAUAUCCAUUAUUGCUUUAUGUUCGAUGAGAUUUUAAUAAUUAAGUAUUUCUCUCACCAAUUAUUUGGAUUCUGUAAUCUUGUGUGACACAGUGACUUGCUAAUUGUUUAUGACUUGAUCCAUUCAUUUAUUAGAAGGAACCUAAUCGGCAUUAGUGCAAGAUUAACAUUAUUUCUGCUUACAAUUAAAAUGGCCAACCAAAUAUACGCUGAUAGAGUGUACCGUCUUUAGAAAACAAAUUGAUUAGUGUAUUUUUAAUAUAGUUUUUAUUAGGAUUUUUAGUAUUUUUAAUUAUUUUAAUUAGUUUCUAUUUAAUUUAUUUAUGUUUUUUUUCAAAGUUUCAUUGAAUCAUAUUUCACUUGAUUUUAAGAAAUUUUAUAGGAUUUUGAUAUAGAAAAGAGCAAAGUGAAAUAAAACUCUCAAAGGCUGGCACGUCUUAGGCGUUCAACUCAACACCCCAGUGCGGGAUUGAAGAGAAAUUAACAUAGAGACUCAGAGCGUAGCAUGCCCAAGCCGUGUAUUAAAAUUGUUUAGAUACGGCAGAGAUCUCUCCUUAUAUAAACUUAUUAAAGCUUUUUUAAGUCUAAUUAGGAAAACCACUUAAUUUGCAGAGGAAGAAAUCUAAUCACAAAAGAAAACGAUUAAGUCUUGUAUUUCUUCUGAAAUUAAGAGUCCAAUUGACCAAUUAGAAUUAGAACUCAAAUUAGGUAAUUAUCUUUGCGGUUCCCUUUUUUUUAACUUGAUAUUUAGCAAAUUUCUAAUUCUCUAUAAAAACCUUCUAGAACGAAAUCAAAAUAAUAAAGGAAGCAAAAAUUAAUAAUUAAAUAAAAUAUAAAUAAAACUAAAUAAAGACUAUCUAAAAUAAAUAAAAUACUACUCCCUCAGUUCUAAAAAAAUAAUCUCACUUUUUAUAAUGAAUGCCCCAAAAUAAUAGUGUCAUUUCUAUUUCGGAAAUAGGUUUUUGUUAACUUUCUUAUAUUCUGCCAACAAUUAAUAUAAGUAGACUUACAAAAUAUUCAGUCAAAAUAUAAAUAUAAAAUAAUAUAAAUUAAUUGAAACAUGUGCGGAGAUAUUAAUUUUUUUUACUGAAAAACUCUAUAAACAUUAAUCAAAAAAAU